rnacentral:tRNA from 1 species
GGUUAGCUCAGUUGGUAAGCGCUCCUCCUGUAAUGGAGAGGUCCCGGGUUCGAUACCCGGACC